rnacentral:lncRNA from 1 species
AGAAGAUGUGGUAAAGAGACAUCCUGGCUGUUGCCCUCCAGAGUCUUUGCCAGCCUAAAGGAGGGGCGCUAUGUGGUGGCCUGGCCUCCUGUGAACUAUGGGUUUCCUACUAGACAGGAGGAGGGAGGCCAACCCCAAGGGAAGCCAUGCCACAGUGAUUACUGAAAUGGGACCAAUCCCGGUCGAUGACCAGCCCUGAAGGUGAGACACCUGCAGAAGCUGAAGAGUGUGGCGCACCUGCUGGCCCUUCCUGAUAGAGCCACACGGGACUCAGCCUGGAGCAGCCUCUGGCUACAGCAUCCUUUCAAUGUAAGACCUGCUAAGCCCCAGGAUCCCCAGAUGCUCAGUGUACACAUCCUUCAUGACUCUCACUGGCAAAAGAUAUGGAAAGAGACAGUCACUGAUGGAUGGAAAGGGACUGUGUAAGUGUAAACACGUAACGGGAAGUCCUGCGCCUCUCUUAAUUGCCCGACACAAUUCCCACUACGUGCAUAAACUGCAGUUCCCAUUAACAGCACCAUGAAUAAUAAUCAGUUUACUUUCUGACUCGUAUCUAAAUAUACCUUCUAUAUGAUUUCAUCUUUUAUGCAGCUGUUUAGAAGCAGAACAUCUAAUUACAGUUCCUAUUAGUCAACAUUAAUUUUUUUUCUCCCUUUUGCCACGGAGCAUAUGUAAUGACUGAUUUUCUAAAAACAGAAUUUUUUUAGCAUAUGGAACAAAUUGUGUUAUUAUUAAUGCAUUCCCAGAUGACUCUGCAUUUCAAUUCCCUUAAUUAUUUAGUCAUUGCUGAUUAUGUCUUUUUAACAUUCAUUAUCCCAUCUCUCGAAACACAGGCAGUUUAUUCAUUAAGUGUCAAAAUGGAAAGCUUGACCUCC